rnacentral:rRNA from 1 species
GGAGUUUGGGCCGUGUCUCAGUCCCAAUGUGGCCGUUCACCCUCUCAGGCCGGCUACUGAUCGUCGCCUUGGUAGGCCGUUACCCUGCCAACCAGCUAAUCAGACGCGGGCCCAUCCUGUACCACCGGAGUUUUUCACACCGGACCAUGCGGUCCCGUGCGCUCAUGCGGUAUUAGCAGUCAUUUCUGACUGUUAUUCCCCUGUACAGGGCAGGUUACCCACGCGUUACUCACCCGUCCGCCACUCAGUCAUCCCUUCCCUCGCCCCGAGGGGCUCCGUCCGGGAGCUUCGUUCGACUUGCAUGUGUUAGGCACGCCGCCAGCGUUCAUC